rnacentral:tRNA from 6 species
GGGCCCGUAGCUCAGCAUGGUAGAGCAGCGGACUCUUAAUCCGAAGGUCGGGGGUUCAAAUCCCCCCGGGCCCG